AGAAAGCGCGUCCUCUGCGGCUUUAAUCGCGACGGGUGCACCCAGUUCAGGUCACAGCUAGGGACCCUGGCCAGGCAUUACCCGUGGCUGCCUCGGCCAUAGACACGGUGACAACUCAGGUGAGUUUCCGGCCGGGGGAAGACCUGCGCAGAGGGGACAAGGACCAGGCACCGUACGAUGAGAGCUGCGAAGCUGAACCCGCUCUCGCUGCGUGCUUUUGCAUUCAAUUGAACAAUCCCAUAGUCAUUGAGCCUUCUAUUCCUCCAACAGCGCUCUCGCUGUCAGUUUUUAGUGUGGAUGGCUCGUCUCACUCUCACAUACGUUUAAUUGGUGCGGUCAUAUCCUACCGGACAGGAUGUCUUGGACACGCGGUGACGUGCGGCUGCGAGGGCUCCUACUUGUGCUCGGCACAUUCGCCCUGGUGGGCAUUGAGCCCGUUUCGGCACGCACAGUGAAGCCGAAGUAUUUUCUUCAGAAAGCGCUGCCACUUAAUUUAGUCGUGACGACGCCCGUGGAGCUCUCAAACUCGGACUCGGCGUCAGUCGGCCUAUAUGGGAGGCAGGCGCUCACGGUGCGUGCGCUAUUCCUUACAUGCAGUGAGAAUUUGAAACUAGGUUUCUAUACGCGGAUGGCGAGCGAGGCGCACGCUAUGGGGUUACCAGGCAGCUGGUGUGGGUGUCGUCCCUCCCACCCAACGCUGCUGACACCCCCGCCUGUUUUGAACGCCCUACAGGCGGUGUUCUCCCGCCCGGUGAUAGCUUUGGGCUCUGACUUUGGUACCCCGGCGUCGGAGCAGAAGGUGAGCUUUCAGCGGGAUGUGGGCUCGUGCAUGGUGUGUAGGGCCUUGUGCUUGGUUGGGGCCUCCUGACCCACAAGAGUUCCUUCUCAAGCGAAUGCAUCGCGUACCUGUUGUGUGCAGCUCCCGUUCCGCCUCAACUGCCCGGUGCCGGGCAAGGCGCGCUGGGUGACCACCACCAUCGCACGGUAAGCGGGGCAACAUCUGGUUCAAUCUGAAUUGCACCGCACGCGGUCUGCCGCCGGUGCUAACCUGCCGCAUGAAAUCCUGCUUACGCGACCACAGCUUUGACGCGGAUGUGGACUGGCCCACGGACCUGGAUUGUGAGCUGACGUGGACCGCUGGCCUUACAAGCUAUGAUGGUGAGCGCGUGGCAUAGCGGCGCUGUGGUGAUGUGGGUCAGCCUAUUCCAUGCCGCCACAGCCGCAGGCAUCGCAGCGCCUGGGUUCUCUGCAGCAUGACCUGCAGUGAAACUUCGGGCAGUGAAGUGCCGGAGGCAUGGCUGCACUCCUCUCCGCCUCCACAAACACAUACGGUAUUAUCCCCCGCUACCCAUCCCACAGGCGCUCCUCUGCAGCUCGGCGACACACCAGCGUCUCGCAAGCUCAGCAGCAGCCCGCUGACGCUGUCCAUUAGCGACGUGCUGUCGGACAAGGCCGACGAGCUGACGGAUGGUCGCUGGGCCUCAAGCCUGGGGCUGCCGGACGACAGCUACCUGGAGGUGCCGCCCGAUGGUGGGUCCGGCCAGGUUCGCCCAGCUCUUGGGGCCAGGGCGGGUGGCAGCCAAGGGGCGCAGUAGUUUACAAAACCCACAUGAUUUUCUUCCUACAUAACACCGGCGUUCCGAUGUGCUGGUGCCUCCUGCGCCCUGCCUCCGCCCUCAGGCCGCAUCGUGGUGCAGUUUUCUGGCAAGGUCCACCUGGCCACCCUACAGAGCUACCUCAAGGUGGGUUGCCGGCCGUGUCUGUGUGGGGGAGGCCAACGCGAGGGGAACGGCGCACCUGGCAUGCAUCCGUGUGUGCAUGUUGUAGCUGUGUCACUACUGCUGUAGGGGCUAUCAGGCAGUCCCCAGCCUUGGUGCCCGUGCUUUACCACAACUCCUUACCGUACUGAGUACUGACACGUGCAUGUGCCCCUGGACGCAGGUGGCGGAGGGUGUGCAGGGCAAGGGCGCCGAGGCGGCCUUCACUCUGGCGCCUUGCCAGAGCCCCGCGCCCUGGAUCUUCCCCUACACCAGCGCUACCGGCACUGGCACCCAGGUACGUGUCUGAAGUCUCAGUGAAAGGGGCGUCGCUAGGUACUGCCGUGGUUAGUGUUUGAGUAGGGCCACAUGAGCGCGAAGCAUGCUGCUGAUAGCGCUGGUACCGCGCACAUCAUGCAGGGUGCCACUACGCCUCUGAGCCUGGACGUCAAUGCCACCUGCGUCGAGGUCUCGCCCAAGAACCUCAAGCCCGACACUGUGUGAGUGCUGCGACUGCAGCGAACCCUGCACCACCACCCGCUCUUGCUACAGCACCGCACUGCAGCUACGCGCUUCUGUCCCUGGCCGACUUUACUAACCCGCUUGCCUGCGACGGCACUGCGUCACGCCAUGCACUCGCCCGGCCCUGACCUCGCCGCCCUGCCCCUCUCCCCCUCGUUGCUCCUCCCGCAGCUACGCUGUGCGGCUGCCGGUGGGCUCGCGCUAUUUCGGCCUGUCGGGGCCGCUGCAGUCUGAGGCGGUGGCGCCCUUCCGCAGCCUGCGCCCCUUCCGCUUCUACUUCCAGCAGAGCUCCUGGCAGAACGUGUGGGCCGGAACCAAGUAGGUGCACACACGCACGCGUCAGGAUCUUUUACAAACACUUCCACUUCAGCAUUUGCAGCGUUUGCUUGCUGCAACCAGCUCCUUUCGAUGGACUGUAACGCUCCUUGCCUACCCGCGCCUGCAAACCCACGCGGUCAGGUACCGCCGCUUCGACCUGGGGCUGCUGCACGGCCUGGGUUCCGCCGUGACCUCGGCGGCGCUGGCGGGCCGCAUCAGCCUGUGCGCGCGCGGCCCCGGCGGCGCCUGCAGCCCCGUGCCCUUCAGCCUGAGCCUGGUGUACAAGGGCCUGGCGCGGCUGAGCGUGGACAGCCUCAAGCCCGGCACCCAGCACACGUGAGCCAAGGCGGCACGUCAGGACUGGGCUGUACAAUGCAGGCUGCACGUGCGUGGUUCUCCGGUGGCUAAGGGCAUCUGGGUGAACUUGACAUACCUGAACUGUGCUGGCCCCUGUGUAUUCCGAUUGUAGCAUCACGGUGGCGGGCGCUGCCUCCAUCAUUGACGGCUACGACCAGGCGCUGCAGGUAAAGUGGGGUGGUCAGUCCCAUGCAUCACCCAUCUGCAACCCAACACAUCCCCCACAAGCACCGGCGUCUUGUGCACCCUGCCACCCACCCACCCAGCCCACCAACGCCUCUCCCUCGCAUCGCCUUACCGCAGGGCUCCUCGCUCACCUUCUACACCAGCUACGUCGACUACUCCUUCGUCGGCCCCGCGCUGUCCAAUAUGGCCCUGCUGGAGCCCGCUGACGUGGAUAGCCUGGCGUCCUGGCCCUUCGUCAGCCGCGGCCCGCCGCCGCUGAACCCUGACCAGCCCUGGUACCAGCCCGCCUUCGCCAACCGGUGCGUUAAGGCCCGCGUGCUCGCGUCCACCCGCUUCACUGCAGCGUCCAUCCGCUUCACUGCAGCGUCCACCCGCUUCACUGCAGCGUCACCCCGCGUUUGCUGCGCAUCCGCAUGUCUGUCUUGCUUAUGUAUGCAUAACGCAACUUGAUUUGUCUCUAUUAUCGUGAAAUGCGCAGCAUUGACGCGUGGGAGGUGGACAUCAGCGUGGAGCGCAACCGCGUCAUGCUGCUCAAGUCGGUGGUGCAGUCCUCCUUCGGCCAGAUGAACCUGCAGGUAGAUGCGGGCGCCCUGGCACAGCUGUGUACCACAGCUGGCGUACCGUAUGUGUACCCCUUCUGUGCAUUGCCGGCCUUUCCGCGGAUUUGCGGGUCACCGGGUCUCUGGUGCUGGUCUCUCUUGUCCACCUCCCACGCGUCAAUACUGCGAAAUUUCACCUCCCACGCGUCAACUAGCUCUACACCUCCGUACCCUUGCGUCAGACCAACGCCUGAACAUUGCCAUGGUCGUUCCACCCCCCCCCUGAACAGUCCAUCUUUGGUGCGCCCGCCGCCAGCGUGGCGGUGCCCAUCGAGCUGCGCACGCCCGGAUCCGGCGCCGACUGGCAGCAGCUGUCGCUGUCGCUGGCGGGCGCCAAGGUCCGCGUCGUCAGCUUCUGCUGCAACAGCGUGAGUUGGGGAGGGCUUUGGCUGUUCGGUGCGGUACUGUGCUCGCGCUCUGCUGUGCCCGCACAUUGCUGUACUGACAUUUUCCCUAGCUCACAUUUGCCCUUUGCGCAAUCUGUGCUUUCCUGUCUCCCGCCUUUCCGCCCCCACUCCCUUGCGGCUCGCAGCAAGGCGGCAUCAGCGACGCCAAGCUGCUGGUGCGCAGCGGCCUGUCGCUCAACGUGGUGCAGCUGGGCGACACCUUCCGGGCCUGGCUGCUUGGUGCGUGGGAAGCUGCGUGCAGUGGUGAUAGAUGUGGUGUGGUGCUGUGUGUUGGGGCGUCCACCUGUUGGCUGUCGGCGGUUUCAGGCCCCCUUGCUUCGGCGGUGUACAGUAAUGGUAUCGGUGCCAUCCUGAUGCGGAUCAUGUGUGCGCGGCCCCCUUGACAGAAUCCAGCGAGGGGGGAGCCGCUGUUGCGGGUGCCACCGUGUACAUCCACGUCCUACCCAACAACGGCCGCAGCAGCGUCAUUUACACAAGCGUGAGUUCGGGAGGGUAUGGCACAUGCAGGUGAACCCUGGAAGCGUUGUAGGCGCCGAGUAUGCUGAGCAUUGGCAUACCAGUACCGUAGCUGGUAAUUUUACAUGCCCCAAUCCUGUCCCUACUGCUACUCCCCUCUGCAGCCGGACGCGGUCAUGCUGGGCACGUGUGUUACUGGCGCUGACGGCGUGUGCACCAUCACCAAGAACUCCGACAGCGUGAGCGGGGAAGGGCGUUGUUUUUCAGUGCCCUGUUGUUCAAUGCGCGACCAUGCGGUGGUCAUCGAUCCUGCCCGAUCCCACGCUACCGUACUGGUCGUCUGGUCGUAACACCCACGCGCAGGACUGGAGCCAGGUGGCGGCGUUCGCGCUCACGACCGACGGCCGCGCCGCCGUGCUGCCAUCCGCCGGCUACAUCAACCCCGACUCGCCGCCUGCCAACUACGUGGCUUCGCUGGUGGCUGACCGCCGCGUGAUCGUGCCCGGCGACAGCCUCAAGGUCACCGGUAAGAUUUGCUGCCGCGGCUUUCGUACUGUUGCUGCAUGUGCUGCGUUGAUGUGAGUGGAGCCAGAUUGUGUGCUUCGGGCUCAACAAGACACAAACUCAUUAUCUAGUCGCUGAAUGUAACUUUCUCCUACAGGCUUUGUGCAGCAGGUGUCUGCCACCGGCCUCAAGCUGCCGGCUGAGUCAUGGGUGGUGGUGGAGGUGUCGCCCAACUGGCAAGCCUCUGCCUCCGGCGCCUCUGGCGGCACCACCACCGGCGGCGGCGGCGUCAUUAGCCCGGGCCGCGGCCUCAUGGACGGCGCCGUGGCUGCUGCUGUCGCUGCUGACACGGUCAGCGCCGUCGGCCCCUUCUCGACCGAGGCUGCUUUGCCUGUUGCCACCAUCGCCGCCGAGCUGCCGGUUGCCGGCCGCACCGGCCGCGGCCUGCGCGGCUCCACCUCUUCCUCGUCUGCCGGCGCGUCGGCGGUAGCUGUCGGUGUCUCCACCCCUAUGACCGGUGCCAAGCCCACCGGCGGCGUCAGUGCUGGAGGCUCCACCGGCACCACCGGCAAUGCGCUCACUGGCGUGCCGACCCGGUAUUUCGCCAAGGUACGUUAUGCAGCAGCAUGCAUGUGCCCUUAGCCCCGCCACCUGGUUUCCAGUUGCUCGUCAUGCGUGGUGAGCUGGGGAGGACAGGCACCUAUGCCGGGCAUGCAGCAUGUAUAUGGCUGACACGCGUGUGCUCUUCCUUGCCACCUGCUGCGGAGACAGAUUGAUGGCGCCUCGGGCGUGCUUCAUGUGGAAGUGCCCAUCCCCGCCUACGCGCGCCUGCAGCCCUACACGCUGCAGCUGCGCCUGCCCAAGGCCGGCACCGCGCUUGCCUCGGGCGCCCGUCCCGACGACGCUACGGCCGCUGGCUGGUCCGACGUGGCUGGCUCGCUUGGAUUCACGGUUGCUGACCCGCGCCCGCCCACCGCCGAGCUAAAGGUGUGCAAGCUAGGGUGCCGUCUGUGCACAUGAUGACAGUUCAGCCGGCGCGGGACGGGAUCUUUGGGUGCAUCUAGCGAUGCCUUGAUCCAUUGACACGACGCUUGGUGCCGCUUGACGAGCCCGUGUGUACGAGCUGCACACACACACACACACACACACAACUCUGACGCACGCGUUACGCGCAUAGGUGGACGUGCCUCCAUGGGUGCUGCCCACCGCCGCCGUGGCGCUCAAGCUCACGGCAGUCAGCUACGUGGGUGCGCCCGUGGACAACUCGCCCAUCACCGUGACCUGGAGCCACAGCAAGGUAUGAACCCAUCAACCCACAAUCCGGAACGAUGACGAGAGCCUGCCAUAUGAGCGCAUCUGCAUCUCCACACUUCCCCUGGCGGCCAUGGUGAACGAAGACGCAGCCGCUACUCCCACGUCCUCGAUCCCCCAUUUACCCACUCGUUCGCACCCCACACGCAACAGGCGAGCGGCGUGAUCAAGCUGACCACGGGGCUGGACGGCGUGGCCUCCACCACCCUGGACUUGGGCGCGCUGCCCGAGAUCAACCGCACCACCGCCUACGACACGCUGUCCAUCGCAGCUGAGUGGGUGGGCCCCACCCGUGAGCUCAUCCAGAAGUCCGCCACAAUUAUGUGAGUGCACAUCGCACGGUGCCGGGAGGGGGGCGGCCGUCGAGGUUGCUAGCUAUCGACGGUUUGGCUUGGUGUACAGCCUGCUUGUGCAUGGCGACUAAUGCACGUUACGCCCACGUUGGCAUCACUGUCUGACAGCGCCCUCUGCGGCUGCGCUUGCCCUCCUUCCCCCCCUCCCUCUCAGCCUGGCGGACGGCCCCGCCCGCCUGCAGCUGCAGACGUCCCUGGACACCGACGUGCCGGGCGUGGCCUUCGCGCUGGGCGCCCAGCUCACCUCCAAUGUGGACGGCUCGGCCAUCACCGGCCUCGCCGUCACCGCCACCCUCAAGCCCGACACCUCCGCCGGCCCCGCCGCCUGCGCCGACACGCCCAGCUGCGCCACCACCAGCGGCGCGGGCCUGGACGCGGGCUGCCAGCUGGCGCUGCCGUGCGUGGGGCGCUUCGUGCUGGAGGCGUGCGCAACGACGGCAUCAGGUCCGGUGUGUGCGAACCAGACCUUGGGUCGCAACACCACGGAGUGGUCUCUGGACCCCCUGGACAGCUUCCCCGCGCCCAACUUCCUCACCGAUAAGUAAGAGUGUAGGGCUGAAGAACCGGAUAAAGCUUCCGAGCAUCCCUGUCAAUAGUGAUACCUGCAACAGGAAUCGCAUAUAAGUCCUGAUCCCGGUCUUGAUGACGCUGCGCACGCAGGGCCUCGUACAAGAUUGGCGAGAGCGCCACUGUCAGGUUCCAGAACCCUUGGGCCGGGUAAGUGGUGCCGUGGUGCCUUGAACUCCCAACAUAUGCAAACACAGAUUAGGUCUGCAGCAGCUUUUGCGGGCCUGACACGCCAAAGUGCUGCGCCGUUGAACCUUCUUUCCUUACCCUUCACCUCCCAUUGUCCGCACCCUGCCCGGCCUGCCUGUUGCUUCCACCAACAGAGCCCGGCUGAUGCUGACGUGGGGCAACAACUACGCCUCCAAGCACGAGGUGGUUGCCUCGCUGCCCGCCGGCCUCGCCUCGCACACGUUCGGCCCGUUGGGCAACGAGUGCCUGGGCGGCUGCAGCGUCUCCUUCGUUCUGGACGUGCCGCGGCUGUCCGCCUCGGCGCUGCCGCUGCCGCCCCCGGAGCAGCUCAAGGUCAGCAAGCUGUAUGACCCCCGCGCGCCCGCCACCUACAGCCAGCAGCUGUCGCUGACGGUGCUGCCGGAGAACGAGCUGGCCGUGACUGUGGCCGUGGCGGCGGCGCCGGGCGUGACGGCGGGAAGCAUCACGGACGCUGAUGGCAAGCAGCUGCUUUCCAUUGAGCCCGGCAGCGAGGCGACGGUGAGCGACUGUGCCGUGAACUGACACACAAUUUGAUUGCACAGAACUGCGUCGUGAUAAGGAAGACCGAAAUGGGUCAGGGAAAAGGUCAGCAUCAACCUGUUGUUGGCUGCAUCUGAACUUUUCGUGCAGGUGACCGUGACUGUCGGCAGCGUCGGUGCCGGCGCCUCCGUGACUGUGUACGGCGUGGACAAGGCGUUCCUGGACCUGCUGCCGUACCCGCUGCCGGCGCCGCAGCAGGAGGUGGUGCUGCGGCUGGCGGCGGCUGUGGCGGCGUACGGCCCCAGCGCUUACCGCCUGGCGCCUGGAGCGGUGCAGGCCGUGUUCGCAAAGCUCAUGAGCCGGUAAGUGCUCAGUAUUGCAUGGCGCCUUGCUCUGUAGCGAAUGCCUGGCAUUGCUGCACCCGUCGACGAGCAAGCCCACAUACCCGUCAACCCAGCGCUGUGCACCACCUCUCAUCGCCCAUUCCCCAACACCAGCCCUUUCUGUAAACCCGACCGUCACCUCAAAACCCGCACCCACGCAAUGCAACGCCUUGCCGCCCCCCUCUGCAGCCUGACCGGCCUGGACCCCUGGCUGCCCGCCGACACCACCGUGCGCCCCGGCGACACCGGCGCCUACUUCCGCACGCCCUACUACUCGCCCAGCGCCACGGCCUCGGCCGCCGCGGUGGACAUGGAGGACGCGGCAUACCUGGCGCUGUACACGAGCCCGCUCACCUACCUGGCGUCGGUGAGUGCUGCUAUCCUAUAGAUAGGUGGUCCGCGGCGGUGUGUUACAAGUCACGCGGGUUUGCCGAACAUGUUCACGCGGUGGGCACGUGGCGUCGGGUAUGAAGGCUGGGCUGACCUCCACCGUUCCCCACUUCGCUUCCUGAACGAACCCAGCAGACCUACAUUGGCCGCUACGGCGGCUGCGGCAUCACGUGCAUGGACUCCGCGGCCAGCAAUGGUGGAGGCACGAACGUCGUUUCCGCCCCCAGCGUCCGGCCUUUGCCUGGGCAGGGCGCCGCCACCGAUGAUCAGUCCAAGGGGGUGACUGCCCCCGAGAGUGGCGGCAGCAGCGGCAGCGGCGGCAGCAGCUCCAAAACCGACAGCAGCGUCACCGUCCGCCAGGAGGCUGACUUCAUCGUGACGCCGCUGUUCACCACCGCCGUCACCGACGCGUCCGGUGUGGCUCGCGUGGCCUUCACCGCGCCGCCCAACCUGGGCACGUUCGUGCUGCGCGCCUUCGCCGCUUCUGGCGCCGCCGCCAAGUACGGCUCUGGCGAGGCCAAGCUGGCGGUGCGGCGGGCGCUGUCGCUGACGCCCAGUGUGCCGCGCUUUGUGCGUGUUGGCGACCAGUUUGAGGCGGGCGUGGUCGUCACCGUAGGCUCCGCGCCGGCCAGCGUCACCGUCAGCCUAAAGCUGGAAAACGCAGCCGACAGCCCUCUGACGCUCAACGGUGUCACCUCCAAGACUGUGACCAUCGCAGCGGGCGGCGGUCUGCAGCAGGAGGUGCGCUUCAGCUUCACGGCGGUCGCCAUCGCGAGCGCUACGCUGGUAUUUGAUGCGGUGGACUCGGCGGCCGGCGGCGGCUCCGACAGCCUGAGCCUGGAGGUGCCGGUGUACGGGCAACAGGGCGACGUGUGGGUGGCGACCUCCUUCGCGCUCAAGGCGCUGCCCGCCUCCGACUCGGAUGUGGUGCAGUGGCAGGAGGGGCUGGCGCUGCCGGACGCAGUGCCGGGAAGCGGUGAGCUGCAGGAAUUAUAGGGGAGGGGCCGAGCCUGCCACAUUUCUAAGUGUCGCUUUUGCGAUGCCUGCAUGCAUCCCUUUACUUGGAUAUCAAGGCAAGGCAUUUGCUUUGGCAACACGCUCGCUACCCAGCUGACCAGUACCGUACCUCGCUGUGCUUGUUUGCUGUUGCUGCAGGCGGCCUAGCUCUUACGGCGGGUGUGGGCUACUGGCCCUCCAUCGCGGCCACCUACGACAACCUGGCGCAGCGGCAGGAUGACUACAGGUAGGCGCGCGGACAUGCGCACAAGUGGCUCCCGUUGCACCGGCUUGGGCACCACCUGGUUGCCGCGAGCACACAACAGCCGGGCAUGGCGCAUGCAGCAUGCUGCACUGACCCUCCCGGACGGCCUUGUAAGCUUGCAGCGACCAUGUCCUUGUCCCGUCGUACUGAUCCUCAUCCUUUCCCUCGCCUCCUUCCUUCACCCGCAACCCCUUGCAGCGGCUACGCCUAUGCGCAGCCCUCCAUGCUGUGGGCGGUGCAGCCGCCGCUGCUGCAGCGCUACGGCCAGCCCGCCUCCGCCGCCGGGCCCGAGGCGCUGCUGCACACGGCCUACACCAACCUGGGCCGCCUGACGCUGUCCAACGUGGGCCUGGUCUACUCCGACCCCUCGCGCUGGUACUCCUGGACGCCGACACGGUGAGGGACACGCAGAGUGCUUUGUACGAGCUGUAGGUCGGAGGUGCGCCUGGCGGUCCAUGUGCAGUGCCCGGCUGCUUAUUCGCAAGCAUGCCCGUAAUCUCCCAUCCCUCGGUCAUGUCACCACCUCCCAAUCGCUUCCCUCCCCACCCACCCCACACACGCACACGCAGCACCGACAUGUACCUCAACAGCUGGGCGCUGUUCCUGGCUGCCGAGCACGCCGCCUCCGGCAAGGCCCUGUCCGGGGACCUGGCCGCCGCCUACGCCACCGACUGGUCGGGCCUGGCCGGCAACCUGGUGCCGCUGUGGCGCGCGGCGGUGGAGCGGCAGCUGAUCCAGGACGCACGCGACGCGCGCAUGUACUCCAACAACAAGAACGCCUACGAGGAUUGGUACACGCUGGCCUGGGUCAGGUGGGUCUCCCGUGACUGCGGGUGCUGGCGCUCGCGCUGGUGCAUAGUGCAUGUUCGUCGCAAACCACAAGCACAUUCUUCAGUGCACAAUUGUUGAACACCACAAGCACGUGCUAUGCUGUUGCUGCUCACCAUUUGACUGUGAUGCUGGCCAUUCCGCCGUGCACUCACACGCUUGCUCGCCGACCUUCCAUGCACCGCCGCCCGACAUCAGGCUGGCCAUGGGCCCCGACUGGAACCCGCCCGCCUGGCUGGAGUCUCCCAUCAACAACGACCUGUCGCUGGCCACCCUGCUCAACGCCGUCAGCGCCAAGAAGGCCGGUCGUGAGGUGGGGCUUGCAUUGGGCGGUAUGUAAUGCAUUGCGCCUCCGCGCUGCGCUCUGAAGUAUUCUUGCUGCGCAUCGUACCUGCCGUACCUAACAUCUGCUCUCAUACAAUCUUGAUGGUGUCCGCAGACGCGCGUGCUCCUGUCGCUGUACCUGCAAGCUCUGGGCUCCGCGGCGCCUUCCUCGCCGCUUGUGGCCAACACGGUGGCGGAGGUCACCUCGGCGCUGCGCACGCAGGGCCGCACCGCCUACGUGGCCACCGGCCCUGGUGAGAUGCACAGCUGGCCGGACCUCUCUGGCCUGUCCCGCGCCAUUACGCACCCAAGACGGAACGCCCGCGCCAAAGCGCUUUGUGCGCCUCGUCCCAACCUCAACCCAGCUGCUCUUCCCUGCACAAAUCCACGCGACACCCGUGCCCGUGGCUCUGACCCACUGCCGCUUCAACCUCCCGUGCACAGGAGCCGCCUCCGCUGCGUCGCUGGACGAGCAGGCCCUGGCCCUGCUGCUGCUGCUCCGCUCCGGCGCAACACACCAGCUCAUCCCCAAGCUGGCGGCCUACGUGGCCAACCCCAGCCAGGCGGGCGGCAGCGUGGGCUGGUUCAGCAUGUACCCCUCCGAGGCCGCGCAGGGCCUGGCGGGCGUGGCACUGGCGGCCUACGACGAGGCGCGCGGCAGCACCAAGCCCGACGUGGAGCUGUUUGCUGACGUGAAUGGCCUCACCGUGCUGGAGGUGGGUCUAGUCGGGUCUGGCCGGGUCUGGUGCCAUGUCUUGCGCGUAGUGCGUUGGGCUAGGGCGCAUGUGUGAGGGGCCACAACAAUGCGGUACAUUGCAAAGCGUGCAGGGUUUGACCGGCGCGAUCUGUCCGAACAGGGACACAGCCCAUCUGACAUCCAUCAUACCACAGGCCACCUUCCGCACCGGUGCUAACGCGCCCGUCAGCAACACCACCGCGUGGGAGGACCUGCCGUCGCCGCCCACCGGAUCCCCCUCAGAGCUCAACUUCGAGGUAACCGGCACCGGCGAGGUGUCUGUGGCUGCGUCGCUCCACUUCGUUCCCUCCGCGCUGCUGUCGUUCCCCUCCUACCGCGGGCUGUACGUGGAGGCGGCGCUGCAGCAGGUGGACCCGCGCACAGGCGGCCCCACCGGCGGCCGCCUGGCGGCGGUGCCGCUGGGCUCGGUGGUGGCGCUCACAGUGCAGCUGACCACUCCCGACGACCUGGGCGCGGUCACGCUGUCCGUCAUGAUGCCCGGAGGCCUCGAGUGAGUGGGGCGGGGGGGCGGGGUCAAAAGCGCUUGCUACUGGCUCUUAAGACGCCGCUAUCCUGUUCUGUAAGCACUUGACAACCAACUUUGGUCUGCGCCCGUAACUCAUUCUCACCCAUCCCUCCAACCCCUGCCGCAGGCCCCUGGACCCCAACCUGGUGGCGGGAGCUGACAGCGCCUGCACCGACAGCUGGGUGGACGGCAGCAGCUGGGGCUAUGUCUACCGCUGGUACUACUGGUUCCCCAUCUGCCCUGCCCAGGUACGUAGGCUUGUGUGCGCCUGGGCUGUGAAACCCGGGGCCGCGGGCCUGGAGCCACGCAUUCAACUGUCUUUGCUGUAUGCGAUGGAUUUUCUGCUUUGCAAGGACGUGAUGCCCUGCGGCGCGUAAAUCCAGAACCCGGGUUGGUGCUCCUCAUGCUCCUGCCCAUGAUCCCGCCCCCGCAGGAGACGCGCCCAAGUGUGGUCACCUUCAACUACCUGUCCCUGCGCGCCGGCACCUCAUCCGUGGUCAUCAAAGCCGUGGCCGCCACCGCAGGUGUGUAUGGUGUACCGAUAGCAUGCCUAGGCUGCCAUGUGCCAACAUCGCGCGCGCAGCACAGAAAUGCCCGUGCGCACGCCUACAGCCCCUGCAGCUACCCAACCUGUUUCCGCCCCACUGCACGCCUUUGGCCGUCUUCGGCGCAGGCACAUUCGUGGUGCCUCCUAUCCGCGCCUGGGUGGACGAGCAGCCCGAGCUCAUGGGCAGCACCGCCGGCGCCAAGAUCAGCGUGUGCGCCGACUGCGCCGGCCCCACCUACGGCGCGCUCCCGCCGCCCCCUAAGCCCUGUCCCGCCGACUGCUCCGGCAACGGCGUGUGCAACCUCAAGACCGGCAAGUGCGUGUGCAACGCCUACUGGACGCGCGCCGACUGCUCGCGCAUGGUGCCUGCUUAGGCUAUACCGUGGCACGGAGUUGACGCGACACGCGCGUACGAUGCUCACCUCACAUUAUGUGGUGUGCCAGCGGCGGAGUCCAUGGAAUACCUGUUUUGAACUCAGAGGCCGCUUGUUCCGGCGGAUGGUGGAGACACGUUUUUGCACUGGAUUAAUUGGCGUGACGUGAGCCGUACGAAAGAAUGGUGGCAAGUAGUAAGGCGUGCAGCUUCGAGCUAUUGGCGACGCACAUCACAACCGCCGCCGGUGUCUACCUUCGGGUCCGGGCAGCGCGCAGCUUGAAGGACAUUUUCCAAGGAUAGCAGAGCCUUAUGGGCAUAGUUCCGCUCCAUGCCGGCCCCUACGGCCCUCAUGGUUGACUCAGUACUCUCCUACAAUUUCCGGUACUUGAUAUGCGUUUUGAUCAAGGUAUGAUUGAUGCGUUUGCUACUGUGGUGCUGGAAUUGCGUGCGUGCAUUUCUAGUCUCGGGUACUGAAAGGAAAUGUGGUUUACCGGGUCCACCAAGCACUCCAUAAUUCAAGGUGCGCUGGGUUCUGACGUCAUUGCUUUGGCAUUCUUGUAUUAUCAUGGACAAGGUGAGCGCUCCGAACUGCGUUAGCCUGCGCUGCAAGGCCUUGUCUGGCGGCAGCAUGUGGCCGUGGAGAGACAACGGUUUGCGCGGUAGAUAAUUUUGCCGCUAGUACUUCUGUGGUCGGAUGAGGGUCAACACACCGGUAGGGCUAAAGGAGAGACGGAGGGGAGGCCCUGUCGGCACGAGAUGCUAGGCUGGUACUGUGAGUUCUCAACGUCGGAGUUUUGAGCAUUGGAGAUGGGAGUGCUGCACGCGCAUUUACAAGCAUGCCGCCUGACCAUGGCUCGAACACGCAUCCAGCUUCCUGAAGCGCCAGCACAGACACGCACGCAUGCACGCAUAUACAUACGCCGUUGGCAUCAUCGCAUCAUGUAUCCUCGCUCUCGGCCGUGGAUGGACCUGAGCCUUUAGUAAUGCUGGCUACAGGCCGUAAUCACCAAAAAGCCACUGGAAGAGAGCGUAGCGUUUGUCGACCCCACGGUAUUCAGCGGCCUGCGUGGUACGCGUUCCGUCCAGGCAACGCCCAACAGCUUCAUGGCCCCUCAACCCGCAACCCGCUCAUCACCCGCGCGCGUCCUGCUCACGUACCAAGUGUCCACACGCGCAUUCGCAACCCUCUUGCAACCAAACUCAAAGCCCUACAACGGCAACAAGGCGCACCUGCAGUCCUGCCAUGUCCAGCCCACUUCCUAGCCUCCACCUUACAACCAGGCAUCACUUCGGCGCCGCUGCCCUCUUGCCGCACGCCUCCUUGUGCCCCGCAUUCCAGUGCGUGCGCUGGCACUCCACGCAGCAGUAGCUCGCCGCGCCGCCGCACCGCCCGCCGCACCGCUGCAGCGUCACGCCCGCCGCGCUGUCGCCGGCCAUCCUCACGCACGCCCGGUUGGCGCACAUGUCGCUCGACAUGCCCACAAGCUCCCCAGCCAACGCCAACGGCGGCAGCAGCGCCGCCACGCGCCGCGCCCACAGUGCACCGGGCAGCUUGCCCACCGAGCACCAGGGCGCGAGCAAUAACGGAAACCCCGCCUUCAGGGCUUCCACAUCGCGCGGCUCCGCGCGCCCGUUGCUGAUCAGCCGCCCCAACACAAAGAACUCCGCCGCAAUGGUGCCGAUGCCCUGCACCUGCAGGCCCAGCACCUGCACACAGGCAGCCUGAAGCGCCGCGUCGGCCGUGACCUUGGGCACGGGGCCGGUGGCGGGCCGCGAGGGGCUCGACGAGAAGUAGGGCGAGGGCACCUGGUACUUCUUCAGCUCCCUGGCCGCGUCCUCGGGGAAGGCAACCGCCAGGUGCAGCAGCGCGUACAGCGUCCACCGCACGUGCUCGCUGCUCACGGCGCUGCCCGCCACCGUGUUGGUCAUGAGCUCCGUCACCUCCGCCACCAGCUCGAAGCAGCUUGCGUGGCUGAAGUCCAGCAGCAGCAGCUUCCAAGCCUCCGCCUCGGCCUCCGCCGCCUCCGCCACCGCCUUGGCAGCAGCGGCCUCCGCCGCCCCGACGCCGGCGCUGCCGGCGCGCUGCCGCGCCUCCGCAGCAAACUCCUUGCAUAGCAGGUGCGCGUGCACGAUGACCGGCACCGCCCGGAACACCGAGCACGCCGCGCCCAGCGCCGUGCGCGUCUGCACCCCGAUGUGGUCCAAAUCAUCGUCCAGCCGGGCUGCGGGGUCGUCCGGCAGCCGACAAAGGCCCACUGUGCGCGGGUUGACAAACAAGCCCGGCAUGUGGCCAGCUGCGCUUAUGGCCACCUUUUGCGCCAUGACGCACAGGUUGCGGCCGGACCGAGCCAUCCAGUACACCCAGCGCUUCAUGGUGAAGCUGCACAGCGCCAGAGCCUGCAGUGCCGGCUGUGGCACGCCCCAGUCAAAGGCUCCGGGCUCACCUUGCCUACGGGCAGAGCUGCAGCCGGUACUUCGUACACAUGCACUGGAACGUCACUAGCGAGCCCGCUAGCAAAUGCCCUACACUCCAGGGAUGGCAAGCCGCGCACGCUGCCCACCUCCAACGACUAUCCAAACCCCCUCGCGAGCCUACGCCUCCCCCACCUCGCGACUCACACCUGUCACCAGCCCAACGACAGGGCCGGUGGACUCCACCAGACGUGGAAGGAGCGGCGCGCCGACGCACCACCAGACAGAACACUCAAAUCAACACCAAACCGUGCAACCCCUACCACGACAUCUACCCCACGGGCGCCUACACCAUACAGAUUACGGACACAUACACAGAUGCACAAACCCUUGCACAUAUACACGGCCCCGACGGACGCCACAUUUCCAGCAUCACCAUGGGGACCCUACACACCCUUUACACCCGCUACAAUCACGCCCUGGCCAGUAACCCAACCGAAACCGCAUCUCUCCGUUCCCCCGGAGGUUUCCCCGAAGAUGUUGCCAAAUUACUCAUCCGCACCCAUGUUGAUGAAAAAGGCAAAACAUGCAAAACAGCGCCGGCCCUCGAACGCUCACUGCCGACGUGCCUAAAAACAACCCUACUCGACGCCUUGGCUGCGGCCCACCCCGGCGAGACCAACCCGGCCCUCAUGGAGCGCUUCGCCUCCCCACUCAACUGCUCCAACCGUGUAUGCCAAUACUGGAGUGCCCAACCGGCCGAUGCCCUCUUCGGGGCCACAACGGACGCCCUGUCUGCUCCUUUCACCGGCCUCUCCAUCGCCCACCCCGGCCCCAACCCCGCCUCGUAUACCAAAGCUCUGGCAUGGGCCGUGGCCACCACGGAACUGCUCGAAGGGCAGAGGGACCCGGCCAUAACCCUCAUGGUCAUCCCGCACAACCACAAGAGCCCCCACACCCGCCUCUUCAGUAGCCCUCAUGUCACACACAUAGCGCUCGCGUACCUCCCGCCCGACACACCCGCGACCAACCUAGACGAGGGGCUAGGCGCCCUUAGCCCGGCCAUCACCCUACGACACGGGUUGGACCUCCUACUCGUAGCCAACACAACAGGGGUGCAGGCCUUCACGGCCCGCAACAACCUUGCCAACCUCCAAGCCGCCCUUACAGACAUCGGGGCUCAACCGCCACGCCCACUCACACCACAGCUGCCGUAGCGCGAUGGCCGCGCCGAAUCACCCUCCCCAGAGACCGCCACCAACCCACCUCACGGCCAUACAGCCACCGAGCCCAAACCCGGGCGCGACAGGCAACACACCGCCGCACCCCGCCAACACCCCCGGCCCCGCCCACCUGCACAGUCCCCCCGCCCAUCCAAGCGGAUCUGAACGCCCUCAGGGACCGCUUCCCGGCCGUCUCCCGGCCGCUCUAUGACGCGGCCACUGUCAUCUGGACGGACGGGUCGUGCAUCAAAAUCGCAGUAGGAGACGACGGUGCCGAAAUGAACCAGCUUGGCGCCUGCGCCUGGACAGCAACAACGGGCGAACCACUCUACGUCGAGCCAGGCGGCCUAAACAGCACCAAUACCAUCCAGCGCGCAGAACUAUCCGCCAUCCUGGCUGCGCUAAGACACUACCGCCCCCGCGCGCAACUCCUGGGACUGACUAAGCUAGUGAUUGCCAGUGACUCGCUGGUCUCACUGUACCUUAUACGCAGAGCAAUUAGCGACCCAAUGAAACUGACGCUGUCCAAACACAAAAACCUACUCAGUGACAUUGUAAAGGAACUUAACGAGUGUGCCGACGAAUCCCUCCCUGUCGUAUCCCUGAAGGUACGCUCACACACAGGCCUGGCAGGAAACGAUGAGGCCGACAAAGGCGCAGCCCUGGUAGCCGGUAGCGUGACGCGGGCGCAAUGAGCCAAGCGGUGCACCUGCGACCUGACGAGCCCUGGGCUAACAUCUGGUGGCCCAAACGGAACUCCGACAACUUUUACAUCAGCGACCUGAACAGGGGAGUCCUGUCCUCACUACCCACGCGGGCACAACAUGGAUUCACAGACAGUACAGCCGUCCUCGACAACUGGGCCGCCGCAGCAGACGGCGCGUGCCCUCAAGCAAGCAACCUAACUCUGGCCAGCCCCACCCGCCACCCCUGGCUGGUAAAACAAAUCCUAUAUGCCAGAUACGGCUACCUUUUCAAUGCCGCCCUCAAACGCCGAUAUGGACUGGGCGGAAACGGGUUGUGCCCCCUUUGCGAGGCACCCGACUCAGGAGGGCAUAUCCUUGGAGGGUGCUCUCAACGGCAGAUGAAAGGCGCAUACAUCAACCGCCACAACAUAGCGGUACAGCGAGUGGCUAAAUGCAUCUCCAAAGGAAGCUAUGGCGGGGGCUACAUGGUAAUGGACGCGGGCCCACUUGCGGACCUGCCCGAGUAUGCAUCCGGCCAAAGACCCCCCGCCUGGCUUUUCCGUAAUGGCACACCCCCAGAGGUUAUAGCCAGGCUCCGGCCAGACAUUCUCUUCAUCAGUUCAUCCCCGCCCUUGACACUACAAUGACACAACGCGAAGACUAUCGGCCGCCCCGCAACCGCAGCCGCACACCAAUCUAUAUCCUUGAAAUAGGAUACAGCUCUGACUCCCAACACCUACAUAAACGAGAAGAGAAGUCCCAACAACACCAAGAACUCAAAAGCUCCUAGAAGAAGCUGGAUGGACCGUCCACUACUCACCCGCCGAGUGCAUCGCCCUAGGUGUCACUGGUACCAUACCCGCAAACCUGGUCCCACUCCUGACCACCCUAGGCGUGCCCCCCAAGGCGGCCAAAACCUGCGGACACAAGCUCCACCACCACGCUGUCAAUAGUGCUGGAGGCAUAAUUAAAGCCCGCAGGAUCAUGGAAUACGGGCACACGAGGACCCCAGGGUGAUGUCCCCAACCGGCCCCCCUUGCGUGGUGAGGCGGCAGGGUAGGGGAUGGGCCCCCACACUGACCCGCCUUGCAUGCCCCGAUAAUCCACGCCAGGCCCUACGGGCCGGCGUUUCGAUUAUUAUUAUUAUUAUUAUUCCUAUAUCAUAAGAAGAAUAAUAAUAGAAACCGGACUUAGCCGCGCGGGCGAUCCUCCGGGGCCGGGGCGGGGGCGGGGCUCCGGGCGUGAGGGACCCAGCUUUGUUGCGAGGAGCGUCGCGCGUGCUCGCGACAUAGCAGGGGCCGCAUACGGGAGUGCGCUCCGCGGCGUUUGCAUCGGAGCCACGGCCAUUUGCUGUCCAGGCAGCCGCGAGGGACCCAGUUGUGUAAAUACAGCGCACAGAAUUCGGCCCCCCACUUGGGAACUCCCAGCACCUCAUCGGGGAAAUGGAGUCUGGGGAAAUGGGAUCCAAUGGCCGCAGAAUCGCUCGUUUUCACCCGNNNNNNNNNNNNNNNNNNNNNNNNNNNNNNNNNNNNNNNNNNNNNNNNNNNNNNNNNNNNNNNNNNNNNNNNNNNNNNNNNNNNNNNNNNNNNNNNNNNNNNNNNNNNNNNNNNNNNNNNNNNNNNNNNNNNNNNNNNNNNNNNNNNNNNNNNNNNNNNNNNNNNNNNNNNNNNNNNNNNNNNNNNNNNNNNNNNNNNNNNNNNNNNNNNNNNNNNNNNNNNNNNNNNNNNNNNNNNNNNNNNNNNNNNNNNNNNNNNNNNNNNNNNNNNNNNNNNNNNNNNNNNNNNNNNNNNNNNNNNNNNNNNNNNNNNNNNNNNNNNNNNNNNNNNNNNNNNNNNNNNNNNNNNNNNNNNNNNNNNNNNNNNNNNNNNNNNNNNNNNNNNNNNNNNNNNNNNNNNNNNNNNNNNNNNNNNNNNNNNNNNNNNNNNNNNNNNNNNNNNNNNNNNNNNNNNNNNNNNNNNNNNNNNNNNNNNNNNNNNNNNNNNNNNNNNNNNNNNNNNNNNNNNNNNNNNNNNNNNNNNNNNNNNNNNNNNNNNNNNNNNNNNNNNNNNNNNNNNNNNNNNNNNNNNNNNNNNNNNNNNNNNNNNNNNNNNNNNNNNNNNNNNNNNNNNNNNNNNNNNNNNNNNNNNNNNNNNNNNNNNNNNNNNNNNNNNNNNNNNNNNNNNNNNNNNNNNNNNNNNNNNNNNNNNNNNNNNNNNNNNNNNNNNNNNNNNNNNNNNNNNNNNNNNNNNNNNNNNNNNNNNNNNNNNNNNNNNNNNNNNNNNNNNNNNNNNNNNNNNNNNNNNNNNNNNNNNNNNNNNNNNNNNNNNNNNNNNGAGCGAUUCUGCGGCCAUUGGAUCCCAUUUCCCCAGACUCCAUUUCCCCGAUGAGGUGCUGGGGAAAGAACUCCGCGUCGCCGAGUUGAGUAUCGGGCAGAGGUCGGCAAACGCAUUUUUUCUGCUGCGGGUCCCAGACCGAUUUCGGUAAACCCCAACCGGGGGGUGUGGGGGGUGUCCCCCCAGCCGGGGGUCCGGGGGCGGGAGCCCCCGGAGAAAAUUUUCGCAUAUCGGGCCUCAAAUAUGUGCAUUUUACUAGGGUUUCCGCGUGUGCAAGGCUUGCAUUCGUCUUACGUGUUCAACAGCACAUGCCUGGGCAGCUGCUCUGUGGCAGGCAGCCACAAAUCCUCGCAAUCCCCCUCCGUCCAGCGCAAGCCGGCCCCGGGGCAGCAGCCCCAAAGAAAUUUUGCAGAUUGCGCUUCAAAUUGCGACAUUUUCAAGGGGUUUUGGGGGCAUUUCGGGUAAACCAAGAGCAGGUCAAUCAUGUUUUGGGCCGGUUUUGGGGGGCAAUUUUGGUUUCUGCAGCGAUUUCGGUGGUGUAAGUACCCGCAGCGGUUGGCUAUUCUCGAUUUCGGUUGCGGGUACAUCUGAGGGCCCCGAAGGACCCGAGGCUUAUGCCGACCUCUGGUAUCGGGUCUGCGCGAGCACCGGUGUGUGGCCGCGUGGCCCCAUGAAAGGGACCCAGCAAUAUGAAUAGAAAUGUAUAGGCAGCAUGCGCAUCAGGAACCGGCGAGACUGCAAAGUGGUGGCUGUCAGCUCCGUCGCGCUGCGAGGUCGUCACAGGCCGAACGUGCACCGACUGAAAACGUUUGGAUGAAAACGAGGUUCUUCGGGGAAGUGUAUAUUUGCGCGGGUGCGCGGGGACCAGCUAGGACGCGCGCCCCACUCGCAAUUUACCAGCGGGUGGGGCGGCCAAUAGGCCCGCUUCUUAGGUGAAUGGGGCGGUCCCACGCAAAUCGUAACUAUAUCGAAAGCUGCUGGUGCCGCAGCUGGCUCCGCCACCACUGCGGCAGGGGCGGCAGCAGUCAUUGGCACAGCGGCCGCAGCCGCCGCCGCCCCUGGCCCCCUGCCCUGCAGUGGACCCGCGCCGCCGUCACGCCCACCUCCCUCCCUGCCGGUGUCUCCGCCUUGCUCCGCGCCAGCUGCAACCACGUCUGCAGCGGCUGCUGGUGCCGCAGCUGGCUCCGCCACCGCUGCAGCAGGGGCGGCAGCAGUCCUUGGCACAGCGGCUGCCGCCGCAGCCGCCGCCGCCCCCAGCCCCCGGUCGCAUGCUGCAGCGUGUGCGCUAUCACCACAGCACGGGCAUGCGUUGGCUGCGCCAGCGGCGGGCCAGCCCUCCAAGCCCUCCGGAUAGUCACGUACUACGCCAUCCAGGUGGUAGUAGGCGUUGAGCGCGUAGCGCAUGCGCUUUCUUAGCUUGUCCCUGCCCAGCUUCGGAGCUGCCGCUGCCGCUGAGUCGCUGAGAGGCCAGACGCUGUUCAACCGCCAUACCUCCAACAUGGCAGCUGCAAAUGCGUCUGCGCUCUGAUGCCGACUUGAGUAGCAUAGGCGGGAGAACUGCUGGAGUGUUGUGGCGUGCCACCACAACACCAUCUGCCCCUCCGCCCGUUUGGUCAGGUCCCACGAUGUUGGCGUGUCCGGCAGGCAAUCCACAACGGUGGGCUGCAUGCUGACGAACUUGCAGCAGCGCUUGCACCAUAGCACCGGCACGGCCACGAUGACCGGCUGCUCCCAAGUGACGACCACCACCGGCACCUUGUGCGUCAGGUUGCAAGGCUCGCAGCAUUCGGGGCACUCACUGCCCCGCGCCUCCACAAGGCCGGUGAUUGCUGCUGCUUGGCACUGCAGCAACAGCUGACGAGCAGCACUAGCAUCCGCGUAGUCCCGCAGGUAAGCCGACGUGAGCUGUGGGCUUUGGGCGAGGGACUGUUUUGCGUCUCUGCGUGUCUGUCGCGUGUGGUCCCUGAGCGCUGCUCCCGAGUCCCCGGCAGCACCCGGGUCCCCGGCAGCACCCUCGACAGUCUCCUCGACGUAACCCUCGAGGUCCUCUAGCUGCUGGUGCUGGUGCUGCUCUGCUGCGAAGCGCCCGUCUGCGGCCCGCUUCCGUGAUUGCGGCUGAGGUUGAGCACCGCCGCGCCGGCUCUGCGGGUUACUGCUACGCUGCGCUUUUUCGUCCUUGGAAGGUAGCAAACCCUUGUAAAACUUCUUGUUCUUAGCGACACUCCCGGCUGAGCGGAAAGACAUGACGACACAUUUAGUCGGGAGAGUCGGUGUAGUAUCCCGGGUAAUGUUUAGGAUGCGAUAACGUGUGAUCAGCGUUUAGAGGUAAGGCGUGCAGACUAAAGGGCCUGCUGGCGCUGUCAUGCAGGGGUCCGAUGGGGGGCGAUGGUGGGCCGGGAGCGCGGGGAACUUCUCUCGCGGCUUCCGGGCGAGAACCUUAUGCAUUUUGAGCUAUCUGCAUGUGGAUUUGCAACUUUCGAUAUAAUUACGAUUUGCGUGGGACCGCCCCAUUCACCUAAGAAGCGGGCCUAUUGGCCGCCCCACCCGCUGGUAAAUUGCGAGUGGGGCGUGCGCCAUACCUCCGGGGACGCACCAUUGCGUCAGCCAGUUUGAGUGCAGGGCCCAGGCGACUCCGCACCUCCCUGAAUCUAACGACCGUAAUCGUCAUUGUCUCGCAGAGCAAUACUCAAACGCACUUUCGUCACCAACUUACAAAAAGGGUCUCGUAGCGGCCCAACCAAAAAAAGCGAUAGGGCGCUUUAUUCUGACCGGCAGCGCGUCACAACAGCAAGCAAGUAGUAUACCGGUGUAGCAGGUGCGGCGUGCGUGAUGUUUGGGGCCCGUUUGGUGUGGCGACCUGGCGUUGUGGUCGCGACGUGACAUUGCCGCUUUACAGUUCGCGGCCGGGGUCCAGCCAAGCGCGCAUGGCUGCGAGGGCGACAGGGCACGCACCUGGAGCACUACCGGGCCAGAAGUAUGGUGUCGGCGAAGUAUUCAGCCGGGACCGUCGGGUUUGUGCUAGGUUCACACUCGCAUCCCAUCCAAGUGAGUCCCCCCCCCCNNNNNNNNNNNNNNNNNNNNNNNNNNNNNNNNNNNNNNNNNNNNNNNNNNNNNNNNNNNNNNNNNNNNNNNNNNNNNNNNNNNNNNNNNNNNNNNNNNNNGUUGGGGCAUGGACCUUUAGGUUGGUGGGUAAAGUUGGUGAUCAAAGAUGAACAGCUAAGGUGCCUCCCGAGGCUUGUUUGGCUUCAUACAUUGGUUCCGAUGGCGCAUUUAGUUCCCAGAGGGGCCUUGUAUACGGGAAUGUAGUCCUGGAUGAUGGGUACACCAGCGCGGGUAUGAUAUGGGACCGUGGUUGCCCUUGGCUUGGUUGAGGGAGGGCCAACACAUGGCACAGAGGCAGAUACCCUACAGCCAGCCAUUUCGCCCGCAUAUGGCCAUGCGAACUUGGGGUUGCACCCAACAGUUCGACCGCGACCCCGGUGCCUCUUGGAUGCUGUCAUAUUGUGCAGAACUGAUGCACGCUCAUCCAGUGCUGCCUCCACUGCAAUGGAUGGACCGUCAUCAUUGCCAGGGACUGCAGCUGGUGCAGGCAAUAUUACACCACGUGGGCCGUUUGGAUUCCAGGUGUCCGGGCCAGAUCCAUUCGCAUAUGCAAAGGCAUGCUGCUGUAGAGCUGCAACAUAUAUGCCCGUGACACAAUAACGCUCUGCCAACAUGGAGCAGGUGUUGUUGAAGUAGCAUGGUAUAACCUGAGAGCUGACAGUUGCCCCAUCAUAAACACACAGGUGCAGUUUUGAAGCACCAGCAGGUCGCUGUGUGGUAAGGUGGUCCAGCAGCUUGCGGCAGACAAUGUUAGCAUGUUGCUUCUGAGCGCCAACAGUGUGGAGUGUGGUUCUGCUGCUAGUGGAGCACUCGCUGAGGACUGUUUGACGGUAGGUCAGCGCCUCAGUGCGUGCAGCUUGCAGGUCACCAAGCACAGAUGCCACACGUGCCUGGAGGUCAGGUCGGUCACGAUUGGCAACCGCCCCCCCCCUCCACGCCCCCUGAACUCCCCCCCCCUUGCCGCUUUCUGCAUUGUGCCCCCCACAACGUGAUCGUUCAGGCAGAGAAUGGGCAAGAAAGUGUAUGGAGCGAAAGGGAAGAACGGCGGCAAGCAUGCGGCUGAGGUGGGUGCCAGGGCGGUGCGAGAGUUGGUGUUGAGGUACACUCUGUGGGGUUGGGGCGCGUGGGGGCAGGGCGGGGCUGGCAGCGUGUUCAUGGCGGGGUGCAGGUGCAUGUAUGAAUUUGGUGACGGAACAGCAGAGCACUAGAAGGGGCGAGUGCUGUGUGCCAGAGGGUUUGGUCCAAGUGUUGGUGUGCGGCGGUAACACCCGGCGUGUACAGGUAUAAAUUGCAACUGGGCGCAGGGCAUUGUGUUGAGUCCCCCUCGCUAAACAUCCUUCACAUGCAGGCCAAGUCGCCCGGCUGCGGUUACGUGGUGCAGCCAGCCCCGCAGCUGCUGCGGGCCAUGGUGAACCCGCGCGCUCUGCGCACCAGCAAGGUGCCUCGCUGUGUACCAACUGGCGGGGCAUUGGGCGAGCGGGCAUGCGGGGCCUGGAGCAGCAACACGGUGAACGGCGAGUCACUGCCUCCAGUGCAGCGACCUGCACCGGCGGCUGUCAAGGCGCAGCAGGCCGUGCUGGCCAAGAUGCGAGCACAGCUGUGGCGCCGGGCGCACCCAUCCGCUGUCCACCAGCACAACCUCAGCGUCAUCAAGCAGCCCAGGGCUGGCACAGCAGCUCGCUCCCCUCACCAGGUGGUGGAGCCGCACGCAUUCCUAUGCAGCGUGUGCCUGACAGCAGGAACGGCCUCCACGUGCGCUUGCAGUUGACAGGCAUGUACCAGCAGGCAUGCUACAAGGCAGCAUUGCUUCAGCAGGAGCUGUACGGGGCAUGCUUUGAGCGUCGCUCAUGCACGCCAUUGACUGCUACCAGCAGGCGCUUUGUGGUGGCAACUCGUGACCGACCUGACCUCCAGGCACGUGUGGCAUCUGUGCUUGGUGACCUGCAAGCUGCACGCACUGAGGCGCUGACCUACCGUCAAACAGUCCUCAGCGAGUGCUCCACUAGCAGCAGAACCACACUCCACACUGUUGGCGCUCAGAAGCAACAUGCUAACAUUGUCUGCCGCAAGCUGCUGGACCACCUUACCACACAGCGACCUGCUGGUGCUUCAAAACUGCACCUGUGUGUUUAUGAUGGGGCAACUGUCAGCUCUCAGGUUAUACCAUGCUACUUCAACAACACCUGCUCCAUGUUGGCAGAGCGUUAUUGUGUCACGGGCAUAUAUGUUGCAGCUCUACAGCAGCAUGCCUUUGCAUAUGCGAAUGGAUCUGGCCCGGACACCUGGAAUCCAAACGGCCCACGUGGUGUAAUAUUGCCUGCACCAGCUGCAGUCCCUGGCAAUGAUGACGGUCCAUCCAUUGCAGUGGAGGCAGCACUGGAUGAGCGUGCAUCAGUUCUGCACAAUAUGACAGCAUCCAAGAGGCACCGGGGUCGCGGUCGAACUGUUGGGUGCAAGCCCAAGUUCGCAUGCGCAUAUGCGGGCGAACUGGCUGGCUGUAGGGUAUCUGCUCGUGUGCCAUGUGUUGGCACUCCCUCAGCCAAGCCAAGGGCAACCACGGUCCAGUAUCAUAGCCGCGCUGGUGUACGCAUCAUCAAGGACUACAUUCCGGUAUACAAGGCCCGUCUGGUAGCUAAUGCGCCAUCUGACGCAAUGUAUGAGGCAGACCAGGCUCGGGAGGCAGCUAUGCUGUCAUUCUUGAUCACCAACUUAGCCCAGCACCCUAAUGUCCAGUGCCGUACCGGCAGUUUUGAGUGCAUCAAAGAGGACCUCAUUGCAUACAUGGAGUCAGAUAUUAAAUUGUACUUGGAUACAUAUGGCGAGGCAGCAGCCCAGGAGCGGUUUCGCCUUCCCAAAUUGCACCUUACAGCUUGCAACGGCACUGUCAAGUACCGUGCAGUGAUGGACCGGGACCGUCGAGGCAACAUAUAUGGCUCAUCUCAGGCAGCUGCUAUCAUUGAGCGUGAUGUUAAUGAGAUGCGCUGUGGGUCUGAGCCAUAUGUGUCCCCCGACUGGUAUUUUCCCAACCCUGCCAUUCUUGCAUCAUUCAAAGCCCAGCUAGCUGAAGUCAACGCUGCGGUGCUUGCUGCAAGGGCCGUCAUACAGCCUGGUAACGGUGUCCACGAGGGAUUGGAGGAGAGUCUUGGCACCAGCAACGGCACAGCACCUAUGGAUGUUGACGAGGUGCCAAUGGGGCUUGCUGCAUUCAUGGCCGUGGAGGCCUGUGGAACACAAGCCCUUUGUCCCGAUAUUGUGCAACACCGCUCUGCAAAUAUUGGCCCACUUACAUCAUUUCUGUCUGGUCUGGUCAACCAGCGUGUCCUAUCAAAGUCUUUGGAGGUUGCGCAUGUUGCUGGCCUUGCCAAGACUGCCAGAACACGCAUUGAGAAGUAUUGCAUUUACCUUGAUUCAGCAGUGCUACAAGCAUUAAUUAAGAGUGGGUGCGCAGCUGCCUAUGCUCGCACGUUUGCAGCAGAUGUGCAGAAGGUUUGGGACCAGUCAAAGAGCACUGAUGACAGGUGCGUGUAUAGGUCCUGACUUUGUUUGUGAAUGGCCUUGCUGCAGGCACAUCAUUUAUGGUGUGUUGCAUGUUGCAGGGGCAAUGCCAAGUUCACACCAGCUGACAUCCGCAUAUCAUUUGCACGGCUUGCACAUUUUGGGCCCUACAAGACCUUGCUGGCUCAGCAGUCCCUUGGCAGCAUAUUCUGGGUGAACUGCCUUGGCGCUAGCAGAGGUGCCAAUGCAACUCAUGCCAAUGAUGUAGUUUUUGUGGUGUCAGGUUGCCCACCUGUUGGUAUGUAUGUGGCUGGUCCAUCCUCUGUCUACACUGCCGCAGCAACUGUGCAGCAAGUUGAGGAGGCAGAUGCUGGUGAUGAUGACUCCAAUGGCGAGGGUAAGCAUGGCAAAUUCGAAUUCCAAGACUUCCUUUGCGUGGUGAUGAUUGAGAACCCUUGCAGGUGGCAACCUUGAAGCAGAUGAUUAUGCGGGUGAGGACAGCGACUAUCUGAGGAUUCAGGGUACACAGGCCAGCACACCCACAGCAGCAGCUGUACCUGCAGCUGGGGCCAUGAAUGGGGGUGGUGGUGGGUCUGGAGAGGGGCAUCAGCAUACAUUUGUACCUCCACCCACCAGCCACAGCUCUGGGGGACCCAGCCAUCAUAACAACAGCCAGGCUUCGCAGUUAGGAAGGGCAUCAGGCAGUCAUGGGGCUGCAGGUGACCAAUUACAGCUGGCUGUUACACAUCAGCACGGCAGUGAUUCUGUGCGGUGGCAACAUGCGUUGAUGCUGGUUAGUGCUCCAACCCAACAUCAUGCAGAUGAGGUCUGCCAGCGAAUGAUGGUUGAGCUGGACGCCUGCAAUACAGUACCAGCUGGCAGCAUUCAGCAGCUGCGGCUCUGUGUGCGCAAACGCACUGCAGGCAACUCUGCUGGGGGACCUGGUGGCAGCGCAGAUGUGACACGCCCAGGCUGUGUACAUGCACUUGCAACCAGGCUGGCUGAUCUGGCUAGCUGUUCCCAGCCAACUGGCCUGCUGACUUAUACCACUUACUGGUCACUGGAGGAUUACGUGUACAUCAAGUCUCAGGCUCCCAAAGGUUGGGAUGUGUUGCUCCGGUUCAUCAUGGACAGUUCUUCCUCUGUGCCUGUCCUGCCUUCUGCGGAUGAUCGUGGUCUGCCAACCAGCAGCAUUGGCCAUGAGCUUGACAAGGCCUAUGCUAUUGUUACAUCUGGUGAGGCAAAUGUGUGUUGCUAUGCUGCAAGUAAUACAGUGCUUGACUAAACACAUGCAGAUAUGAAUGGAGCACCUGUGCUGUCUGGGGGACACGGCCUACCAGCUAUGCAGCACAAUCAGACCACAGGGGCGGCAGCUGGCCCCAGCAGUGGUGUAGCCAUGACAGUCAAAGGUAUGCAGUGUCAAUAUGUCAACACGAGUGCAGCUGCAUGCAAUAAUGCUCAUUUCUUGCCUGCAGUUGAGCAGGCCGCCCCAAUGGCGCUGGACACUGGCGUGGCGGAGGUCAUAGAUAUAACUGGUGCGGCAGGGUAUGCUGCUGCUGCAGUAUGUAUUGCCUUAUAUACUGCGUCCAUUGUGCAGGUGACACAGACAACGAUGAUAAUGUAGCCACACAGCCGUAUUGUAAUCCUCCUCAGCAAGCGCACAAUGUCGGUGUUGUGGAUUUAACAUCCGAGCACAUUGACCUUGUUGAGAAUGGCAGUGAAUCAGGUGGUGAAGAGCAACUGCCCGGUGCGUGCUUUGAAGGGGGGCACUUGCAUGCUAUGGCGCUCACCAUUUUGCUGGCACAGGUAUGCACCAUAACACAGCAGCAGCACAAGGGGUUUCUCAUCUCACGCUGACAGACACGGCAACAGCAACAGUGAUUUCUGUGCUUGGAAGUCGGCAUCGUGUGCUCACACGCAGCGAUCAGCACCCUACCCCAGCACAACAGCUGUGUGCAGCCAUGCUAAUUGACAACGUGGCUUGCAGCACUGGAACUUCUCUUCAUAUUGUUGCUGCCCCAACUGGCAGUGGCAAGACCUGGAUUGCCACGGCAGUGUUGCAUACAUUGAUGGCGCAAAACACUCGCCCCUACAUUGUGUGCCUGGUUGCACCUACACGGCAGGUUUCUGAGCAGCUAUUUGAUGCAGUUCGCCACCUCAACCAGCCUGGUGUAUCAGUGGUCAUGCUCAUGGGUCGGGAGCGCAUGUGCGCUCAUGAAGAUGUCCGUUCAAAGCCUUACUGUCAGCAGAGCGAUGCAUGCAAGGUUGCUCUUGGCCGCAAGACAAAUGAUAUUGACCACGCUGGUGUAUCACCCUGCCAGUACAUUAAUGGUGCUCAAAAGCAUGUUCGCUGGAGUACUGGCACGUUCACUGAGGCAGGCGUAACUUAUGGGCCGCCACGGUUGGCUGACAUUGAGUCAUUAAGUGCACAAGUUGGGGCGUGUGCAUACUAUGGGCAGGUCAUGGCCGCGCAUUCAGCUGUUCGCAGAAGGCAGAACCUGGUCAUCUGCGGGACCAUGAACCUGAUGGCUGACCUUGCUGCAAUGCAGACCAGGUAGGUGCCUGCAUCUGCCAUGCAUGGGCAAUACAGGAACAUGAUGAUUCACGUUUCACAGGCUCAAGGGCCAUGAAAGCAGCUGCGACAUCCUUCCAUCUUCAACACAUGAUGUCAUGAUUAUGGUUGAUGAGAUUCACAAGCUGGGGGCAACCGUGCGGGAUAUCCACAGCGCGGAGCUGGCAUGUAUGACCAUCAGCAGUGUAACGGGUGCCAUCAUGUCAAAAGCCAGUACCUUCAGCCGGGACUUCCGGAGCAUGUUACAAAGCUUCAGACAGACUGGUGUUGUGCCCUCCGCAUCCAUCAACUGGGCUGGCCAUGGCAGCCUUUUGUUGUUACUUGAAGCACUGGUUGCUUUGCCUAACAUCCUUGUGCAUGGGGGUUUGGUGGCAAGAACCAAUGCAGCUGGUCAGGAGCAUCGCCACGCCUCUGUUCUGGGGUCAUGCACACACACAGCCGCAACUGCUGGCAGCACUCAGCCCUGUAUGUGUGACCUGUGCACACGUGGUUGUGUCCUUCUCGAGUGGUCCGACAUUUGGCAGUGGUUGCUUGACUGGGGGUUUGACAACCCUGCUCUACUCGUCAGCAAUGCAGCCAGUGUGUUUACCAUGUAUGAUGACAAUGUCCAAAGGCCUGUGGACCUGGAACGCUUGAGGCCAGCAGAGGCAUUUACAGUGCUCCUGCAUGAAUGCUUCAAGCUGCAAGGGUCUGCCCAGCCUAUCUGGCGCACCCUUAACCUCAGGUUCUUGCCGUACAUCCUUGGAUUGGCCUCAGCGGGGACGUUUACCCUUGGAAUUGCUGCAAAAGACAUCAAACCUUACAUUCAGGAAUUUGAGGCAAUGUACAGAAAGGUCGUGGGCUUCUCGGCAACCCCCAUGGCACGGCCCUACAUGGUUGCACUGGAGGGCUGGAGUUCGUUGACUUCCAGUAACAGCAACUCCUAUUUGAUUCAGGGUGCCAUGGCAACACCACCAGUGUCUGCUGGUGGCAUCAGCAACCUUUAUGCGCGAUUUUACAUGCCAAUGGUCAGCAAUGUGAGCAUUGAGUUCACAAAGGAGCAGCUUGAGGACAAGGACCUGGCACGGGAUAUUAAGAUCCAGACAGCACAGGAGAUUCUGGCUUUUGCACGCAUUCUUGCUGCUGGCCGUGGCCUGGUAGUGGUGCUGCCAUCAGAGUCAAAGCAGACAAAGUUUUUUGAUGUAUGGAAAGAGGAAGACAGCAACGGUUGGAGUCUUUGGAAGAGUAUGGAGGACAGCAGCACCAUUCUGGUUGGCACAUCCAGCACAACUGUGGCUGAUUUCCAGCGGGCAUUGAAUCAAAGCACCAGCAAACCGUUGCUGUUCUUUAUUCGUGAGAGGUGUGUCAUUGUUGGGUGGUCAGCAACUUGGCCAAUUUGGGUACAUCCCUAACGACCGCACUGUGCAUGCAGGAGCCGGUUUGCGGAGGGCUGGGAUCCACGGGUUGACAAGGACGUGUCCGUGCUGCUUCUGUACGGCCUGCCUCGCCAGAACAUGUACAGCCCUCAGAUUGAAGCCCUUGCAGCUGCUUUUCAAGAUCAUGACCAGGCGCAGCGGCGAGCAGCAGGCAGUGGAACGGCAGCUGUCAUCAACUAUGGUCUGAGUGUGCGUGGACCGCGUGACCCAAAGCAGCGCUGUGGGCUGUUUAGGCAGUGGUACAUUGCGGAUGCAGUUGCAGCCAUGUCGCAAGCUAUGGGCCGUGCGUACAGGGGGCCGGCAGACCGUGCCAUUAUAAUUGCGAUUGGAGUUGCACAGCACAGGCAGAGCAUGCAGGCGCAUGUUCAUGCCGCAGCUGGUCCCACCAUGCAGGGUCCCGCAGGGUGGCAGGAGGUGAUGCGUGGAGCACGGGAGCACAUGCGGGCCUGGAAUUGGCUGCAUGAGUAAAGACACAGCAAUAGGCAUGUGUGCACAUAUUCAUGUCCUUGUUUUUCAGAGUUUGGGUUGUAACGGCAGGUGGGGGCACGCUGCAAGUGCAGCCUUUUCCAUGGACAUGUUCGUGGCAGGUGGUUAGCCAAUGGCAGGUGGUUAGGUAAUGGCAAGCAUGCAUGGCAUGCUGUGGUGGCUUUGACAAGCAUGCAUGGCAUGUUGUGGUGCCUGUGUCAGACAUGUGCAGCACAUAUGCAGGCAGGCAGGCCACGGCAACAACAUACUGGGACCUUGCUUGUUAACCUGUUUGCUUGUGGUGGUGUGGCUGAUUUUAGCACGGUGAUGCAGUGUAGCGUGCGUCCUACCUGACAAGCAAUGCUGGCUCAUGUAAGGACUUUGUUCAUGGUCUGGACUUGUGAUUGAUUGUCCAUGAUUGUAAUUGGUAUAUCAGAAUUCAUCUGGGCGCCAGGGUGGGGAUGUGGAUGGGGUUCAUGGGGUAGUUCAUUCCAGAGUUCAAAGUAACCAAAGCAACUGUGAGAACUGCAACCUGUGGAAGGGCAGGGCGGCCCAAGGCAGGUGGUGGGGGGCAGGGUGGGCCGGGCCGGGGUGACACGGGGCGGCGCGGGCGGCAGGGCAGGGCAGGGCGAGGUGGGGUGGGGUGGCCUCCCCUGCCCGCGGGGCAGGGAGGGGGUGGGCACGGUGGGGUCGCGUGGGCACCUUCGCAGCUGCAGCACUAGGGGACCCAUAUCAGGGGGGGCACGCCAUAUGGUACCAUAAUUAUUGAUAUGCAGUUGCACCGUCAUGUGCGGGCGGCAAACGCGGCAGCCGGAGCCCCCCGCACGGCGACAUGAGGCGCUCAAUGAACCGCAGGGCGUCCACCGCCUCGUUGUACAGCGGCGGCUUGGUGUUGGCGUCCGCCGUGGCGGCGGCCUCGCCGGAUUUGUCAAACCCGCAUUCUCCCAGGUCGACACCGGUGACCAGGGCCACGUCUCACUAUAAGGACGGGUUUGUGCGUUACGCAUGCUUAUUGUGCGCUACGCAUGCGUCUGGGACUGGACGCAUGCGUGCCAGAACGCAUGAAGCAUGACGGGCGGGGGGGGGGGGGGGCACACGGGGGACACGCCCGGUUCCGGGCGGGGUUGAAACCCAGGAUUGGGCGUUCUUAUUCAUACAAGCACCAUAUACAAUUCUAUAAAGCACGUUACCCUCGGUAUGUGAGCAGCAUAUGUUCACACAUAAUAGCGGGCUAGGUGUCGUGAAGGUCCCGCGAGCGCGAGACCAAUUUUGAGCAUGUUCGCUCAAAUCCGCUAAGCGUGAACCCACAAGCCCUGACUACGCUUAUUUACACCCUAUGAAAGCAAUUGCACCUAUAAGCGCAGGCUCGCAGGCCUCGGCGAGCAGUGUCAUUUUUAUGGGACCGCCAACAAAGUCAGAGUUGCACCUUCCGAUGCAUCUGGGUUGCUUCCAUAUGCCAUGUAGGCGACUCUAGGAGCGGUUGCAGGUCCGUUUGGGUCCCCGCUGCUCAAGAGGUCCGCCAUGAAUUUGGUUUCAUCCAAAGGGCAGCUCGACUAGCUUUUAAGAUUGCCGUCGCCUAGAUAGAGCAUAUAUAGCAUAUAUUAGGUGCUGUAGCCCGCCGGCAAGACCAUUCGGUGGACAUGCAUACAGCAUGCUGGUCGGAACAACAACUAUCGGUGCUGCGGUCGUCAAAACAUAAUCUUGUAUGCAUAUAUGUGCUAUGUAAAGCUUCAGGGCUGUGUCAAGCCCCGUUUUCUGGGACCUCCGUCCCCAUGUACCCAGCUCAGCACACAUGCGUGCGUGCCUGCCCGGAAGUGUCCCCGUCGAGCACACCCUGGCCUCCGAUCGCGCUCGUAGCUGGUGAGCUUAUACAUAUAGAUGUAUAUAUGCGAUAGGAAGCGUGGGGGCCCGUCCUGAGGCAGUUAGCAUGGGGUCAGUCUGUUCACCCCUCCGCCCCCCCCUAAAACCGCGUGUCAAAACACACACGCUUGCCGUACGACAUUAAACCAUCCGUUACACCACCGGAAGGGUGCAAACGUGUCCGGGAGCUACUGCCGAAAUCCCAGCGUGUACCGACUGGCAUAGCACCCCCGCCUAGGGUCUUAAAGUUGGGGGGUACCCUGAACCGGGCGUGUCCCCCGUGUGGGGGGGGGGCGUGAGCCCCCGGAAAAGUUUUUGCGUGUUGGGCCUCAAAUUCCGUCGACUAUCGCCGGGCGCGGGCGCCUGCUCGUAAAAAAUUUCACAAAUAACGUAACAUACACCACGCUUGGACUCUAGCACUGCAUCGGUACUUGUGCGUUGCACCAACUCCUCGCCAUUUCAUUUGUUUUUGCAAAGUUAUGCGUCGCCUAAAGUACAGUGAACAGCUUCUUACAUUUAGCAUGCAUUGGCUGGAGCAACGGGGCGGGCCAAGUGCACUUUACCGGUUACUGGAAAAACCGGGAGGGCCCGAGCUCGAUGCGACCGCACUGGCUAUUGCCCCUCCCCCUUCGGGGGAAGGGGCAAGCCAACGCAUACACGCAUACGUACAGCUUCGCAUACGUUCAAACCACCAUCAUCGUCCCGAGAAUCGCCUAUCAAAGACUGGGCCUACUCACGGCCAACCAACACGUCGGCAGCUGGGCAGCUGGACGCAGUCUACGCGCCUGGUACACUAGCACGGCUUAUCUCAGCUGCGGUCCACCUGUUUCAGCUUCAUCUGGUCGAAUUCAUUAGCCUCGUCAAGAAAGCGCGUCCUCCACGGCUUCAAUCGCUCGCGAUUGAAGCCGUGAAGGGUGCACCCAGUUCAGGUCACAGCUAGGGACCCUGGCCAGGCAUUAACCGUGGCUGCCUCAGCCAUAGGCACGGUGACACUCAGGUGAGUUUCCGGCCGGGGGAAGACCUGCGCAGAGGGGACAAGGACCAGGCAGAGAGCUGCGAAGCUCGCUUUGUACUCUUGCAUUCAAUUGAACAAUCCCAUAGUACUUGAGCCUUCAAACCAGCCAUUCCUCCAACAGCGCUCUCGCUGUCAGUUUUUAGUGUGGAUGGCUCUUCUCAGUCUCACAUACGUUUGAUUGUUGCGGUCAUAUCCUACCGGACAGAAUGUCUUGGAUACGCGGGGAUGUGCGGCUGCGUGGGCUCCUACUUGUGCUCGGCACGUUCGCCCUGGUGGGCAUUGAGCACGUUUCGGAACGCACAGUGAAGCUGAAGUAUUUUCUUCAGAAGGCGUUGCCGCUU
rnacentral:lncRNA from 1 species